AAAUGGCAUACAAAUCAGUUCUCUGUGAUAAACUUGGGAACUAUUUCAUCCCUAAAUUCUCCAGUGUGCUUUUUAAAAUGUUUUCCUAUGUAACUGACUCAAACUUGUGUUCUCUUCAACCUUCUUGAGAUUUUUUUUCCUGGCAAAGACUCAAUAUCAGGAAGGAAGAAUUUUCCCCUCGGAGUUCCCCAAAGGAAAUUUGGGUCUAUCUCUGACAUGAGAAGUUAGCCUCAAUUUAUCCUGCAGCUGGACUUGUUUUUCUUGGAAGCCGGUCUCAAAAUCUUCAUCCUUUAGAACACCAUCAAGAUGAGAAAAUGAGAGGACAUUUUGAUAUCAACGUGAAGAAUCUAGAAAUGGAUUUUCAUUAUACACGCUUCAAGGAACCAGCAAGGUUCUCAUCCGCUUCUCCCUCCCCAGAGAGCUCACUCUUCCACGAUCUGUUAUCUGCAUCGGUUGGCCCUCCUUUCCUGCGUCUUCCACCUCAUCUGCUUCCCUGGAUUUCCCUGUCAGCCUUUUUUUUCUUUUUUUUUUUUUUUUGCCAUUUCUUGGGCCGCUCACGCGGCAUGUGGAGGUUCCCAGGCUAGGGGUCCAAUCGGAGCUGCUGCCACCGGCCUACACCACAGCCACAGCCACUAGGGAUCGGAGCCUUGUCUGUGACCUACACCACAGCUCAUGGCAACGCUGGAUCCUUAACCCACUGAGCAGGCCAGGGAUCGAACCCACAACCCCAUGGUUCCUAGUCGGAUUCGUUAACCACUGUGCCACAACGGAAACUCCUCCCUGUCAGCCUCUGAACCAGGCUCAAGUCUCUUCCAUCUUCAAACCAGGAAAUAAACCUGCCCAGGCUCCUUGGCCGACCAUCUUCACGCAUCUUCCCCUUCUCAGCCAGACUUCCAAACAGAAUGGUCUCUGCUUCUUCAUCUUCCUGCUUUCAUCAAAGCUCCCUCUUCUGUGCAUCAGAAGAAUUCAAAAUCCAGAGUUCCCCCAGUGGGUUAACGAUUGGGCUUAUCUCCGUGGAGGCACCGGUUUGAUCCCCAGCUGGUCCCGGUGGAUUAAGGAUCUGGCCUCGCUGCAGCUGUGGCAUAAGUUUCAGCUCCAGCUUGGAUUCAGUCCCUGGCCAGGGAACUUCCAUAUAC
rnacentral:lncRNA from 1 species